GGCCGCCAGGGGUGGUUCUCGACUCCCGGGACCACCGCCGGAGUCUCUGGCUACUUCUUCCGUCGCCUAAAAAACUCUACCGUUACCAACGCCGGAGUCCGGUCGCCACUGUCACUUGAGGUGGCUGACGUGCUGCUGCCGAACCGGUUCAAGAGACCGCCGCUGUUCGGUUCAGCCGUUUCUUCUUCGUGUUGCUAUGGUUAUUGCAAAAGUGGCUGGGAGCUGAGGUUUUGGUUGCCGGUGAUUUCGAGUUGAGACGAAAAGGACUCGGUGAAGCGUUUGGGAUAUGAA